rnacentral:rRNA from 1 species
AGCAGCCGCGGUAAUUCCAGCUCCAAUAGCGUAUAUUAAAGUUGUUGCAGUUAAAAAGCUCGUAGUUGAAUUUCGGGGUUAGUAGGUUGGUCAUGCCUCUGGUAUGUACUGGUCUCACUGAUUCCUCCUUCCUGAUGAGCCGUAAUGCCAUUAAUUUGGUGUUGCGGGGAAUUUGGACUGUUACUUUGAAAAAAUUAGAGUGUUUAAAGCAAGCUAACGCUUGAAUACAUUAGCAUGGAAUAAUGAAAUAGGACGUUCGAUCCUAUUUUGUUGGUUUCUAGGAUUGACGUAAUGAUUAAUAGGGAUAGUUGGGGGCAUUAGUAUUCAAUUGUCAGAGGUGAAAUUCUUGGAUUUAUUGAAGACUAACUACUGCGAAAGCAUUUGCCAAGGAUGUUUUCAUUAAUCAAGAACGAAAGUUAGGGGAUCGAAGACGAUCAGAUACCGUCGUAGUCUUAACCAUAAACUAUGCCGACUAGGGAUCGGAUGAUGUUAAUUUUUUAAUGUACUCA